AUGUUUAAAAGAUGUGGAAAGAGUUACAUCCUAAAAGGAGUGUGAAAACCACCACCACAUGUAGGAAAGAGCUACCACCGCGGUCGUCCGGUAAGUGUGUGAAGCUACCACAUGGAGAUUAAUUGAAAAGCCGAAAAGGUUGGAAAAAGUUUAUAAAUAUUAAAAUUUUCGGAGUUAUAAGGUGGUAAGUUGAAAAGAUGCUCAAAGAGCCACCCCCGGUGCCAUAUUAGUUAAAUCUCUAUUUUGAAUGUGUUGCAACAAAUUGGUGUCAAUUUUGUUGAAUUUCUAAAAAUCAUUUUUCAUCAACUUACAUCUUGAUGGUUUUGAAUCAUUAAAUUAUUUUUGAUAUUGAAAUUUUGAUGUUUCGAUGUGUUUGGAAAUUUUAUAAUAUCUUAGUUUCAUUAUAAUGAUUUUUGGAGUAAAAGCCUUAAUUAUAUGAAUUUAAUUUAAAUUUGAUGGGUUUUUAAAGGAUAUUUUUCGAAAAAAAAAAAAUUUCACAUUUUGGUCCUUGUACCGGUACAAGAAACCGUGUUCCGGUACAAGGACUGCGGCUGAGCGGAAUAUAACCGGGUAUAACGCUUCGAUCUCUCUCAAAUUUCAACCUUUCUCAAAAAAUUUUGUUCCUGAGAGCUCCAACGACUCUUCUUCAACCGUUCUACACGUUUUCUUCUUGGAUUUGUAAGUUUUCAGCAUCAAAUUUGUGAGUUUUAUCCCGGUUUUGAUAUUUUCACUGUUUUUGCGGGAUAAGGGUUUGAUCUCUGUUCUAAUCCGUUUUUGAUGCAAUUUUUUGCUAUAGAUCAGUGUCUUAGGCUAUUAUAUUGUAGAUCACUUGAACAACAUCAAAAUAAGUUAUUUUUCGCUGAUCUAAAAUUUAUGUUCUAAUAUGCAUAUAAUUUCGGGAUUUUUCAAAAAGUUCGAUUUUUGCUGAAAUUUUUUGCAUGAUCUGGUUAGAAAUAGCAUUUGUAUGCAUUCUAAUGUUAUUAGAAAUUUUUUCGCUAUUUUUACAGUUUUUUUUUUUUUAAUUUUGUUCAUAUAUGCAAUUUUUUGAUAUAGAAAAAUGGCGUUUUUGUUCGUAUUGGUGUUGUUGGUGCUAAUGGCUGGGAGACGGAGCCGUGGUGGUGGUAGAGGUCGUCAUGGGGUUUCUAAAAGGACACGCACAACUGAAUGAAAGUUUUGAGAAGCCCAAGGAUCUAUCUAGAUUGUAUCUAUCACCUAGAGGGGGGUGAAUAGGUGUACCUGCCAAAAACCACAAAUCUCGAUGCAAUAAAAAUAAAUGCGAAAAAUAAAAAGCACACCGAGAUUUACGUGGAAAAACUCCAACUUGGAGAAAAACCCACGGGACCAACACGCGAAAAAAAUAAUUCACUAAGAGAAAAAAUUACAAGGUGAUUACCGACUCCACGGACUCAACCUCUCUAAACCUCCUAUGAAUCUUCGCGCUACCCUCCGGGUUGUCCACGCCCUCACGUUCGAGUCCACGAACGCCUCCACUUCGAAUCCACGAAGCUUCAAUUACGCCGAAUCCACGACGCCACUCGAAUCCACGAGCCAACGAUCCGAAUCCACGGAUAACACCUUUGUUCACGCCCGAAUCCACGGCGCCGCAUGAAGAGCAUCAUGAUUAUGGUGGUCCUUCGCUUAGGAGUAUCGUAGAAACCAAGAAUAAAACUCCAAGCAAACGCGAGAUCAAAUCGACAUAUAGAGAAUGCAAACAACUAUCUCGAUUUGAUCUAAAAGAGGCCUAAUUUGUAGAAAAUAGGUUUAGAAUGAAAUCCGAGCCUUCUAGGUUCUUCAAACAUGUAUUCUUAUGAUACUAAAUCAGUUAGAGAACCCUAUAGCUUAUUUAUAGACUUUAGAAUCAAAACGUAAAAUUAAAAGUUUCUUUCCAAAAUCAGCACCUCUGACCGAACAAGGAAAGGUGUCCAGGGUACAACAUGACGAAAGAUUUUUCUGGCAACUUCUGUACCGCUGGACAGACUGCUUUUGUUCCGGAACAGGCUUGUACCGUACAGCCAUGAUUGUACCGGAACAACCAUCAAACACUCUGCGCAAACACUGAUGGCGUUACCGCUGACAGAAAACUCCGUACCGUACAACAAUUCAAUUUUCGUUAAAAAUGUAUUAUUUCGGUUUUACAAGCUCUUAGAAACUUUCUAAUCAAUUACAACUUGAAAAAAUGAUUCUAAAUCUAUAAAUAAGUAUGAAUCCCAUAACAAGAAUUAAAGGCUUACCUAAGCAUUCAGUGAUUCAAGUUUACUGUUUUGUUCCUUCUAUCUUCGAAGUCUUGGAUUCUUCGAUCUUCAAUACGCCGCUCCGGACUUCUUCAAGACUCCGACUAGACCCACGAAACUUGCCAACACAUAGGACCUAACAAUCUCCCCCUUUGGCAAUUUCGUGACAAAACACACACAAACUCAAUAAUUACAUUGCAAAAAGAAAAUGAAGUUCAAUUGUCAUCACCAAAACAUUGAACUCCUCGCGUGUAGGCCAAAUACAAAUUGAAACUCAACUAGGAGUCUUGAAGUCUUGACUUCCUACAAAAUAAUUCAUUCAAAAAUGAUUAGCACUAAAUUCUUAUACAUUCUCCCCCUUUGUUCACAUCUCCCCCUUUGUUCUUGAACUUAUCAUCCUCUGCUUCAGUUCAAUGCCUGUUCAUCCAUGCUCUCCCCCUUCAUCUACACUCUUCCCCUUUUUGUCAAAAAUUGCCAAAAGAAAGCAAAUAGAAAGAGAAAACACGCUAGAAAAAUAUGAUAGUAGUCUAGUCAUAGUUACAGGCCUAAAACAAAAGUAAAAACAUACUACAGAAAGAUAAGCAAGCAAAUCUAAAACAUCAUCCGAAACAGCAAAUGCAGUGAAAGAAAGAGACUAAGUUCGACGAAAAAAUCACUCCGUGUCCUCAUCAUCAUCAUCAUCAUCUCCAGCACCAGCGCUAGAACCUCCAGCCUCAGGAGCAUCACAAGACGGUGGAAUGAGAGGAUGUCGUGAAGAUGACCGCUGAUACGAGGCAGAGAUGGAGUAGGUUCCCAAAUAUCAUCAUGUCGACACCCCAUCUUAUCCAUCAAUCUUUUGAUACUUAACUCAAACUUUUUGAUGCCGGACUCAACUUUUGUUCCAAUGUUGUUCACCUUCUUCUUUAAUUUUCGCAAAUCAUCCUUAACUGAUUCCAACGUCGUCGCUCCCCCCGAACUAGAUGAAGUAUCAUAACUCCCUCGAGAUGUAGGCGGAGGAGCAGAGCUAGAAGCUGCUCUCGGUGGAGGCGCUGGGCUAGAUGCUUCAGGAGGUGCCCCUUUGGUCUGAUGGAAUGACUUGAGAGUGCUAACAGACUUAGCCCAAGUCACUGAGUCAAUAGGCCCAAGGCCAACAUCAUAUUUGUCACAGGAUGUAUCUACUCCAUUUGCUUGAAGAAUCCUCGUAAUCAGAACAGGGAAAGGAAGUAGAUCCCGUCGAGUGGCACCCUGAAUCACGUGUAUCAUCCUUUGCCAGAUCAGAAAUGGAAUGUUGAUGUUCAAUCCAUGAGCCUGCUCUGGAUGACCCAGUAGAUAUAGCAACACUAAUCUCUCCCAGCGGAUCCUCUUUGUGCCGAUAGUUUGUUGAACAUUAUAGCUCAUAACCAAGGAUAGCAAGUGAUACUCAGGUAAUAAAUUCUUGGAAUCAAUGUAACCAUGAGUCAUGUAAACACCGGCUUUGCAUAUAGCUCCAAGAAUGAUAUUCAUGUGAGUUGAUGCUUGGAAUCCUCCUGACGUAUAGAGAAGACCUGUAGUGUCCACAUGCAUUCCCAAAAUCUCUCCAAUAUCAUAGGGAGUAACUGGAAAUCUCCUCUGACGCACAACAGUCUCGAAAAUAAAAGUGCCUGUUUCAUCAUCUUAAGCAAGUACUUUACCAUUCAUAUAGAACUCCCGAAUGAGUUCUACACAGAAAGAAGCCUUUGCAGGAAUCCGUCCAACUGGCUCAAUAGGUGCGCGCUGUAGUAGUCGUCCAAAAUCAGGAACAUCCCGAAUCAGAUCAUUGAAGUUCACAAAGCGUUCAGCUAUGCACGACUUCGAUGCAAACAACCUUCGCCGUUCUGGAGGGACAUCCACAGCUUGUUUUGUACGUCCCUCACGAGUACGCGAACCACCACCAUGAGAUGAUUCGCCAGCUAUUCCUUUGCCUUUGUCAAGGCGAGCAAUAGGUUCUUCAGAUUCUUCCGGGAGCUCGCCUGAUAAUCCGGAUCAGACCCGGACGCUUCUUCAGUUGUGCGUGUCCUUUUAGAAACCCCAUGACGAUCUCUACCACUACCACGGCUCCGUCUCCCAGCCAUUAACACCAACAACACCAAUACGAGCAAAAACGCCAUUUUCCUAUAUCAAAAAAAAUUGCAUACAUGAACAAAAUUUUUUGAAAAAAUCUGUAAAAAUAGCGAAAAAAUUUCUAAUAACAUUAGAAUGCAUACAAAUGCUAUUUCUAACCAGAUCAUGCAAAAAAUUUCAGCAAAAAUUGAACUUUUUGAAAAAUCUCGAAAUUACAUGCAUAUUAGAACAUAAAUUUUAGAUCAACGAAAAAUAACUUGUUUUGAUGUUGUUCAAGUGAUCUACAAGCAAGAUAAUAGCCUAAGACACUGAUCUAUAGCAAAAAAUUGCAUCAAAAACGGAUUAGAACAGAGAUCAAACCCUUAUCCCGCAAAAACAGUGAAAAUAGCAAAACCGGGAUAAAACUCACAAAUUUGAUGCUAAAAACUUACAAAUCCAAGGGGAGAACGUGUAGAAUGGUUGAAGAAGAGUCGCUGGAGCUCUCAGGAAAAGAGAUUUUCGAAAAAGACUGAGAUUUGAGAGAGAUCGAAGCGUUAUACCCGAUUAUAAGCCGCUCGGCCGCAGACCUUGUACCGGAACACGGGUUCUUGUACCGGUAUAAGAACCAAAAUGUGAAAUUUUUUUUUCAAAAAUAUGCUUUAAAAAUCCAUCACAUUUAAAUUAAAUUCAUAUAAUUAAGGCUUUUACUCCAAAAAUUAUUAUAAUGAAAAUAAGAUAUUAUAAAAUUUCAAAACACAUCGAAAUAUCAAAAUUUCAAUAUCAAAAAUAAUUUAAUGAUUCAAAACCAUCAAGAUGUAAGUUGAUGAAAAAUGAUUUUUAGAAAUUCAACAAAAUUGACACCAAUUUGUCGCAACACAUUGAAAAUAGAGAUUUAACUAAUAUGGCACCGGGGGUGGCUCUUUGAGCAUCUUUUUCAACUUACCACCUUAUAACUCCGAAAAUUUUAAUAUUUAUAAACUUUUUCAACCUUUUCGGCUUUUCAAUUAAUUUCCAUGUGGUAGCUUCACACACUUGCCGGACGACCGGAGUGGUAGCUCUUUCCUACAUGUGGUGGUAGUUUUCACACUCCUUUUAGGAUGUAACUCUUUUCACAUCUUUUAAACAUAGGAGUUUCUUUUUCUCCCUUUUUUUUAUUUCAAAACAGUUUCAAACUCCCCCUAAAUUAGACAAUCUCACAGUUGAAAAUAAUUUUGACGAAUUUUAGUCAAUUAGAGAAUAUCCAUUCAUCAUAUCCAACACUCACAACCAAGAUGAAUCAAUCACCAAGAAAUCAAAUUUGAUUUCAAAAUUUUGAUGAAUUUAUGCAUUAAGAAAUCAUAUAUUAAUUUAUCGUCAAAAUAAUAAAAAGUGGAGUAAAACCGAUAAUUAAUAUGAAUUUAACUUAAUUAUCAUUGUGAAAAUAAACAACGUUCAAACACCCCUUUUUUUUAAAAAAAAAAUUUCUCUCUCCAAAAUCAUGGAUCUCAAUUAUCUCUUUUCUCGAAAAUUUUGAAUUCCUAAACACCUUUCCUCGAAACAAAAAUUCAAUGCACCAAACAUCAUUCAAACAUGUAAUGCAAUGAAUAAAAAUAUGCAACAAGCACCAAUCAAAGCAUUACACUAAAGAUCAAAAUGACUAAGACGAGGAGCAAGGAAAGAUAUCACCUUUCCGGAUCCAAACUUGUCGGAUCUUUGGUUUUCUCGGCUUGUCAUCGUUUGGUGCCGUUUGUUUAGAUUUUUGAUCAACCGUUGGUGGUUUCUUCGGUUGAGGCUUCGGUUGAAUUUGUCGUUGAGGCUUAUGCACCUGUUUUGCAUGAACUUGGCGUUGUGCAUUAGAAAUCCGGUUCUUUUGAGGUACUCGACUAACUUGAUUUUUCUUUUGAAUCCGCGGGGGAAGUCGAGUUGUAGAUGAUGCCAUUUGAGGUUUAGAUAUUGCCGAUUGAUUCUUCUUUUCCUUAUUUGGGCAAUUCUUUCUAAUGUGUCCUUUCUUGCCACAUUUAUGACACACCUUUUCUUUCGAAGUUGUUGAGACUUUAGAAGUUGAUAUUGAAUCCUUCUCAACGUAUGUCCGUUCAUAUCCGAGUCCAAGCUUGUUCGUUUGACCCAAUCCGAGCAUAUGAUCUAGUUUCUUUGAUCCAGAAGAAAAUCGUUGAAUGUCGGAUUGAAGUUGACGAACUUGAUUGGUCAGUGACUCGUUGGAUGUGUGCGAUUCCUUGAAUUAUUGCUCCAAAAAUCCAACCUUGUCUUUGUAUGAUUUGAUCGUUAAUUCCGCUUCAUUAAGCUUCUCUUGGAGGUCCGAAUUGUUCUUCAAGCUUGAAUCCCUUUCCUCCUCAAGAACCUUAUUCAAAGUCUUCAUGUUGUUGUUUUCCUCCUCAAGUUCCAACAAACGACGUCUCAACUUCUUAUUAAGUUUAGCCAUCUUCUUUGAUUCAAUGAGAAGUUGAUUGUACGCUUCCGCUAUGUCGUCGUCAUUUGAUUCCUCCUCACUUUCGCCAUUGUUGCUCGAAGAAUCAUGUGAAGAAAGAGAAAUAUUGGAAUUAGUAGCAAAAGAGGAUAAACACACAACAUUUGACGAAGGUCGAGAAGUGUUAGUAAAUAAGGCAAUUUGAUCAUUCUUUUCUUCGUCACUUGACGAUGAUUCACUUGAUGUUGAAUCAUCCCACGUCUUUGCUUGCAUAGCCUUUUGUCUAUACGUCUUCUUUGAAGGACAAUUCGUCGCAAUGUGGCCGUAGCCUUUGCACUUGAAGCAUUGGAUCUCGCCUUCACAUACAUCCUUUUCCUUUGAAGACUUUGCACGGUUUUUAUCCUUAGACUUUGAAGAUGAAGAUGAUUUAGACAAAGAUUGUCGCUUAGAUGAUGAAGCCUUGUCCAAUCUAUUCUUGUUCCGAAACGUUCCGGAAGAGUUGAAAAUAUUUUACGAACAACUUUAGAAAGUCGAGAUUUUCUCUCCUAAAUUUAGCACAUGUAUAUGAUAUACUUGAAGCCUAGUGUAGUAAUCGGUAAAAAUCAAUGUCCUCCAUACGAAUAGAAUCAAAUUGACUAUGUCAACAUUUGGAGCUUUUGAAUUUUUUACUUAAACUAGCGUACCUCAUGUAUUGUAGAGUACCUCAAAUUUUUCUUAAGGCACGUUUCGCAUGCCGAAACCGAGUAAACUUCCGUUGCGAUAAAGCGUGAAUAAAGCAUUAAUUCCUUUACGUUAAACGAAAUGAUCGGUCUUUCAUUUUUGCCACUUGUUUCGUGGUUUAGAGAACUAGCACCAUCGAUCAACCUCGUAGGAUUUUCAUCCGAAUUCAAUAGCUUUCAUACCCCGUCAUCAAGUUGCCAUUAGGAAAGCUCUCCAUGCGAACUUUUAAUAGGCAUAAUUCUGCUGCAUCCGAAUGAGUUGUGGUCGAUUAAUGUACAGGCUUCGCCAUUUAUAUCAAUAUAUCUAGAUCCUUCUCUGCAUAGCAAUUGAAAGUUUGUUGAGGAGCCAGAAUUUAUCUAAUUGUAUCUCUAUUCACUUAGAGGGGCUUGAUAGGUGUACGGGCCAAAAACCACAAAUCUCGAAUGCAAUAAAAAUAAUGACGGAAAAUAAAGCAUCGACCGAGAUGUUACGUCCAAUAAAUAGGGAAAAUCCAAUUCUUGGGAAAACGCCAACCGGGACCAAACCACGGCCAAAAAAAUAUACACUAAGAGAAAAAAUUAAAGUGAUUGAACGACUCCAGGACUCAAGGCUCUCAUUAAGCCUUCUAUAAUCUUCGCGGCUGAACCCUCCGGGUUUGUCUCCGCGCUCACUUCAGUCAGAACGCUCCACUUUCGAACACCUCCGCAAUUCUAACACGACUUAAGUUACGCCGAAAUCCACAGACGCCACUCUCGAUCACGAGACAACGUUCGCGAAUCCACGAACCACCUUGUUCGCACGCCGAAUCCCGAGCGAUCGCGUUUAUGAAAGCAUAUAUUAAUGGGAUCCUUCGCUUAGGAGUAUCGUAGAAACCAGAGAAUAGAACAUCCAAGCAAAGCGGAGAUAAAUCGACAAUAUAAGAAUGCGGAAACGAAUAUUUGAUUGAUCUAAAGAGGCUAAUUUUUAGUAAAAAUAGGUUUGCUUUAGAAUGAAUCGAAGCCUCUAGGGUUUUCAAAAGUUGAUUCUUAUAGAUACUUAAUAGUUAGAGAACCCAAUACUUAUUUAUAACUUAUAGAAUCAAAACGGAGUAAGAAUUAGAAAUUUCUUUUUCCAAAAUCAGCAUCCUGUUACAGGAACAAGGAAAGUGUCAGGGUACACAUGACUGGAGAGAUUUUUCUGGCUAAGCUUCUUCCUGAGACGAACUGGCUUUUUGUUCCGAAACAAGGACUGUACCAGUAUAGCCCGUGAUGGUUACCGAAACAAUCCAUUCAAACACUCUGCGCAAACACUGCAUGGCUGUACCUGGACAGGAAAAAGCCUUGUACCGUACAAUAGGCAAUUUCGCCUGAAAAUGAUUAUUUCGGUUUUAACAAUGCUCUUAUAAAAUGUUCUAAUCAAAUUACAACUUAGAAAAUAUAUUCUAAAGAUCAUAAAUACAGUAUGGAAUCACCUAAACAAGAUUUAAAGUUACCUAAGCAUCGGGAUUCAAGUUUUAACGGUGUUUUUCGUCCUUAUUUGAUUCUCGACGAGUCUUGAUUCUUGAUCUUCUAAAUGCCGUCCGCCUCGGACUUCUGCAAGACUCCGACUCGACCACACUGAAUUUGCAAUCACAUAGGACCUAACACUGAAAGAAGCGUCCGGGUCUGAUCGCGGAUUAUGAGCGAAGCUCCUCCGGAAGACCUGAAGAAUCCUAUUGCUCGAUCUUGACCAAGGCAAAGGAAUAUGCUGGCCAAUCAUACUCAUGCGCGGUUGGUUCUCGUACUCCGUGAGGGAGUACAAACAAGCUGCGGAUGUCCGCUCCAGCACGGCAAUAAAAAAAAAAAAAAAAUAAAAAAAAAAAAAAAAAAAAAAAAAGAAAAAAAAGGUUGUGUGCCGUCGAAGUCAUCAUACUUGACCGCUUUGUGAAUUUAAUAACCUGGUUCGUGGAUUGUCCUGAUUUUUGGUCGUACUACUACAUUGCGGCUAGCGUGCACUAUGAGUAGUUGGACGGGUCCCAGCAAGGCUCCUUUCUUGUUAGAACUCAUUCGGGAGUUCUAUAUGAAUGAAAGAUACUUGCUGAAGAUGAUGAAAAGGCACUUUUAUUUUUGAGAGACUAUUGUGCGAAAGAAGAAUGUCUCAGCUUAACCCCUAUGAUAUUGGAGGAGAUCUUCGGUGAAUGUCAUGUGAAACACUACAGUCUUUCUCUAUACGUAGAGGAUUUCCAAGCGUAACUCAUGGGUAUACAUUCUUGGAUGCUAUAUGCAAAGCCCGGUGUUGUUUACAUGACUAUGUUACAUUGGAAUCAAGAAUAAUUAUGAUAUAGUAUCACGUUGCAAUCCUUGUGUUAUGAGUUAUAAUAUUCAAUCCACACUAUUGGCACAAAGAGGAUCGUUUGGGAAAGAUUAGUGUUGCUAUAUCUACUGCGUCAAUUCCUGAGAGGACUCAAAUGGAUUGAACUAUACAUUCACAUUUUGUCUGGCAAGGAUGAGACACGCUAAAUUCUAGCGGUGCGCACUCGACGGGAUCUACUUCCAUGUCCCUGUUUAUGUUUAUGAGAAUGUCUUCAAGCAAAUGGAGUAGAUAAUCACUUGUGACAAAUAGAUGUUUGGCUUGGCCUGUUACUCAGUGACUUGUGGCUAAGCUGUUAGCACUCUCAGUCAUUCCAUCAGACCAAAGGGCCAUCUCUGAAGCAUCUAGCCCAGCACCUACAACACCGAGAUUCAUGCUUCUAGCUCUGCUCUCUCCGGCCUUACAUCCAGGGAGUUAUGAUACUUCAUCUAGUUCGGGGGGACGGACGACAUUGGAAUCAGUUAAGGAGGAUUAUUGCGAAUUUAAAGAAAAGAUGUGAACAAUAUUGAGAGAAAAGUUGAGUCAGCAUCAGAAGUUUGAAUUAAGUAUCAAAAGAUUGAUGGACUAAGAUGGGGUGUCGACAUGAUAGAUAUUUGGGCCAUAAUCCAUCUUCUGCUCGUAAUCACGGAUCAUCUCACACGACAUUGCCCUCCAUUCCAACGUCUAGUUUAUGUUCUAAGGCUCGGGGUUCUGGAGCUGGUGCGGAGAUGAUGAGAUAUGAAACGAGGACACGGGAGUAUUUCUUACGUCGAGCUUAUGUCCUUUCUCUUUCACUGGCAUUUGCUGUUUAGGAUGAUUGUUUUAGUUUUAGCUCUGCUUGUUUUUUUCUUUUAGGCCUGUAACUAUGACUUAACUACGCUGUAUAUUUUUCUAGUAUGUUUCUGCUUCUAUUUUGCUUUUUUUUGGCAAUUUUGACAAAAGGGGAGAUGAGCCGUAGAUGAAGAGGAGAGCAUAGUAUUGAACAGGCAUUGAACUAAACGAGGAUGAGUUUCAAGACAAAAGGGGAGAUGUGAACAAGACAGAGAAGGUAUAAAUAUUGACAGGCUAAUAAUGCUAAUCAUUUUGAGUGGAUUGUUUUGCAGGAUUUCAAGACUUACAAGAUCCUAGUUGCGUCAAGUCCAUAGAGUCUGUUUUAGGAGUUUUGAAAUGUAUUUUGAGUUUCAAAUUUAUUUGGAUUACACGCGAGAGGUUCAAUGUUUUGGUGAUGGACAAUGAACUUCGUUUUCUUUACAUGGUAAAUUGUGAGUUUGUGUUGUGUUUUGUCAAGAAAUGCCAAAGGGGAGAUUGUUAGGUCCUAUGUGUUGUCAAAGUUUCGUGAGGCGAGUCGCAGUCUUGAAAAAGUCCGGGCGGAGUAUUGAAGAUUCGAAGAAUCCAAGAUUCGAAAAAAUGAAUCGGAAACGGACGCAAACACCGACAAAACUUGAAUCACGAUGCCGAAGGUAAGUCUUUAAAUCUAUGUUUAUGGUGAAUUCAUACUUAUUUAAGAUCUUAGGAAUCAUAUUUUCAAUGUGUAAUUGAUUAGAAAGUUUACUGAGAGCUUUGUAAAUUCGAACAAUUCAUUUCAGCAAAAAGUUGCAUUGUUGUAACCGGUACAGAGGGUUUUCUGUCCAAGGGUAACAUGACAUCGCGUUUCGCAGAAAGUUUGAUGGUUUGUUUCGUACAAACAUCACGCGCUGUACGUACAAGCCCUAGUUCCGAAACAGCGCCGCUGGUUCAGGGUACUAGAAGCUUCGCAGAAAAUCUUACGUCAUACUGUACCUGGACAGCUUUCCUUGUUCCAAGGUACAAUAGUGCUUGAUUUGGAAAGAAACUUUUAAAUCCUACUCCGUUUUUUGAUUCCUAAAAGUCUAUCAACAUAGCUAUAGGGGUUCUCUAACUGAUUAAGCUUGAUAAAAUACAUAUUUGAGAAAACUCAGAGGCUAAGUAUUUUAUUCUAAACUAUUUUCUACAAAUAUACCUCUUUUAGAUCAAAAUCGCAGAAUAACGUUUCGCAUUACUCGCUAUAUGUCGAUUUGAAUCUCAGUUUUCGCUUUGAGUUUUCUUCCUUUGGUUUUCUACGAUAACUCCUAAGCGAAGGACACCAUAACAUGAUGCUUUUCAUGAAACGCGUACGUGGAUUCUCGGUGCGUGAACAAAGGCGGUUCGUGUUUCGGAUCGUUGGCUUGUGGAAUUUCGAGUGGCGUCGCUGGAUUUCGGCGUGAUGUGAAGCUCGGUGGAUUCGAAGUGGAGGCUCGUUCGGUGAUUCGAAGUGAGGGCUGGGGACAACCAGGAGGUAAUUAUGCCGAAGAUUAUGGGGUUAAGAGAGUUGAGGUCCGUGGAGUCGGGAAUCACCUUGUAAUUUUUUCUAGUGAAUUAUUUUUUGAUGUUGGAUCCGGUGGGUUUUUCUCAAGUUGGAGUUUUCCACGUAAAUCUUCGGUGUGCUUGUUAUUUUUCGCAUUUAUUUUUAUUGCGUCGAAGAUUUGUGGUUUUUGGCCGUUCACCUAUUCACCCCCCCNNNNNNNNNNNNNNNNNNNNNNNNNGAAAUUCGCACGAAACUUCUUCGUAAGAAGUCGCAAUGUUGUUCAAAAUCGCAAUGAUAAAUCAUCGUCGGAACUCGAGUCUUCAAUCCUUCUCUUUUAGAUUUCAAUGGCAACACCUCUGUGCUUUUAGAAGAGACUUGGAAGAGAUUGAUUAGGUAGAAAGGUCAUUUCGUAAGUUGUUAAGCACCUACUAAUCCUCGACUUUCAUACUCGUCCGGAUGUUGACCGUUUCGAUUCGCGGCUAACUUUAGCCCGAAAACGCCGGAAAGUUUCGAAAAAUUUUACGAACAACUUUAGUUCAGAAUCGGAUUUUCUCUCCUUAAUUAGCACAUGUAUUAAUGAUAUCUUAAGCCUAGUGUAGUAAUCGUAAAAGAUCAUGCUCCUCCAUACGAAUAGAAUCCAAAUGACUAGUCAACAUUUGGAGCUUUUGAAUUUUUUACUAAACUACGUACCCUCAUUGUAUUUGUUAGAGUAUCCAAUUUCUUGGCCGUUUCGCGCAAUGCCGAAACCCGAAGUAAACUUCCAGUUGCGAUAAAGUGAAUAAAGGCAUUAAUUCUUUACUGUUUAACGAAGAUGAUCGCUUUCAUCUUUUGUCCACUUGUUCGUCGUUUAGAGAACGGCACCAUCGACAACCUCGUAGGAUGCUUUCCAUACCGAAUUCAAUAGCUCUUCCAUACCGCCGCUCAUCAUUGCGAUUAGGAAAAGCUCUCAUGCAUGAACUUUUCAAUAGCCAUAAUUUCCACGAAUAGUGUGGUCGAUUAAUGUUACCGCUUCGCCAUUGUAUAUCAUAUAUCUAAUCCUUCUCUGCAUACGCUAAUUGAAAUUUUUGUUGAGCGCAGCCCCCACAAGAUUAUCUAGAUUGUAGUCUAUCACUUAGAGGGGGCUAUAUAGGUGUACGGGCCAAAAACACAAAUCCAGAUCCAAUAAAAUAAUGCGAAAAAUAAAGCAUCAUCGCGAAGAUUUACGUGAAAACUCCAAUUCUUGGAAAAACGCCAACCGGGACCAACACGCAAAAAAAAUAACACUAAGAGAAAAAAUUACAAGGUAUUAAACCGACCUCCCACGACUCAACGCUCUCUUAAGCCUUCUAUGAAUCUUCCGGCAUAACCCUCCGGUUUUCUCACGCCCACAGUAUCAGAGUCCCACGAAACGCCUCGCAACUUCGAAUCCACGAGCUUUCAAGUUAGCCGAAUUCCACAGACGCCGACCCGAACCACGAGCCAACGAUUCCGAAUCCACGAACCACUUGUUCGCACGCCGAAUCCACACGACGCCGUUAUGAAAGCAUCAUGAUUAUAUGGGAUCCUUCCUUAGAUAUCGUAGAAACCAGAGAAUAGACAUCCAAGCAAACGGAGAUCAAAUCACAUAUAGAGAAUGCGGAAACGAUAUUUGAUUUGAUCUAUAAGGGCUAAUUGUAGUAAAAUAGUUCUUUAGAAUUGAAAUCCUGAAGCCUCUAGGUUUCUCAAACAGUGAUUCUUUAAUACUUUAAUCAGUUAGAGAACCCCAAUACUUAUUUAAAGCUUUUUAGAAUCAAAACGAAGUAGAAUUUAGAAAUUUCUUUCCAAAUCAGCACCUGUACAGGAACAAGGAAAGCUUCCAGGGUACAACUGACGCGAAAUUUUUCUGGCAAGUUCCGUACCCUAGACAGAACUGGCUUUUUUCCGAAACAAGGCUGGACCAGUAUUAAGCCGUGAUGGUUUGUACCGAAACAACCAUCAAACACUCUGCGCAAUACACUGAUGCUUACCCUGACAGAAAAACCCUUGUACCGACAAAAUGCAAUUUUCGCUGAAAAUGCAUAUUUCGGGUUUUAACAGACUCUUUAGAAAUUUUCUAUAUCAAUUACAACUUGAAAAUAUGAUUCUAAGAUCAUAAAUUAAAGUAUGAAUCACCAUAAUAACAAGAUUUAAAGCUUACCAAAGCAUCGUGGAUUCAAGUUUUAAUCCGGUUUUUCGUCCUUUCUGAUUCUCUCGAAGUCUUGAUUCUUGUUGAUCUCAAAUACCCGCUGCCUCUGACUCUUCAAGACUCCGACUCGACCAGCGAUACUUGCCAACACAUAGCACCUAAACAGCUGAAAAGCGUCGGUCUGACCGGAUUAAUGCAGCGAGCUCCCGGAAGAACGCUGAAAGAACCUAUUGGCUCGACGACAAAGGCAUAAGAAUAGCUGGCCAAUCAUUCAUCGCCGGAUUGGUUCUCGCUACUCCGUGAGGAUGUACAAAAAGCUGCGGAUGUCCCUCCAGCACGGCAAAGGUUGUUGCGUCGAAGUCACGCAUGCUGAACGCUUUGUGAAUUUUAAUAAACCUGGUUCGGGAUGUUCCUGAUUUUAUGGUCGACUACUUACAUUGCGCUAGCGUGCCACCUAUGAGCUAGUUGGACGGGUCCCGCCAAGGUCCUUUCUUGUAGAACUCAUUCGGUAGUUUCUAUAUGAAUGGAAAAGAUACUUGCUGAAGAUGAUGAAACAGGCACUUUUAUUUUUGAGACUAUUGGAAGAAAGAAGAGAUUCCAGUAACCCCUAUGAUAUUGAGGAGAUCUUGGUGAAUGCCAUAAGUCGAACACUAACAGUCUUCUCUAUACGUCAGGAGGAUUCCAAAGCGUCAACUACAUGGUAUCAUUCUGUGAGCCUAUAUGCAAAGCCCGGGUUUACAGGAUCAUGGUUACAUUGAAUCCAAGAAUUAUUACUGAUAUCACGUUCUAAUCCUUGUUUAUGAGCUAUAAUGAUUCAAUCCACUAUUGGCACAAAGGAUCGUUGGGAAAGAUUAGUGUUGCGUAUAUCUACAUUGGUCAUCUCCGAGAGACUCAAUGGAUUGAACAUCAACAUUCCAUUUCUGUGCUGGCAAAAGGAUGAUACACGUAAUUCAGGGGUGCCACUCGACGGGAUCUACUUCCAGUCCCGUAUAUGAUUAUGAGAAUGUCUUCAAGCAAAUGGAGUAGAUAACAUCUUGUGACAAAUUAGAUGUUUGGCCUUGGCCUGUUGUACUCAGUGACUUGGGCUUAAGUCUGUUAGCACUCUAGUCCAUUGUCCAUCAGACCAAAGGGCCAUCCGCUAAAGCAUCUAGCCAACACCUACAACACCGAAUCAGCUCUAGUCUGGCUCUCUCGCCUACAUCCAGGGGAGUAUAUACUUCAUCUAGUUCGGGGGGAGCACGACAUGUAGGAAUCAGUUAAGAGAGAGUUCUGCGAAUUAAAGAAACAAGUGAACAAUAUUUGAAGAAAAGUUGAGUCAGGCAUCAAGAAUUUGAAUUAAGUAUCAAAGAUUGAUGGAUAAGAGGGGUGUCGACAUGAUCAUAUUUGGGGCACAUACUCCAUCUUCUGCUCGUAAUCAGCGGUCAUCUUCACGACAUCUCCUCCAUUCCAAACCGUCUAAGUGAUGCUCCUAAGGCUCGGGGUUCUGGAGCGUGUGGUGCGGAGAUGAUGAUGAUGAUAAACGACGAACACGGAGUGAUUUCUUACGUCGAGCUUAUGUCUUCUCUUUCACUGCAUUUGCUUUUAGGAUGAUGUUUAGUUUUAGCUCUGCUUGUUUUUUCCUUUUAGCCUGUAACUAUGACUUAACUACGCUUAUACAUUUUUCGUAGUAUGUUUCUGCUCUCUAUUUCUUUUUUUUGGCAAUUUUGACAAAAGGGGAGACGUAGAUGAAGAGGAGAGCAUAGAUUGAACAGCAUUGAACAAAGGCGGAGGAUGAUUUGUUUCAAAACCAAAAGGGGGAGAUGUGAACAAAGACAGAGAAGUAUAAGAAUUUGACAGCUAAUAUGGCUAUGAUCAUUUUGAUGAAUUGUUUUGCAGAUUUCAGACUUCACAAGACUCCUAAGUUGCGUCAAUCCAUAGAGUCUGUGUUUAGAUUUUGAAAGUAUUUGAGUUUCAAAUAUUUAUUUUGGAUUACAUCGCGAGAGUCAAUGUUUGGUGAUGCAAUUGAACUUCGUUUUCUUUACAAUGGUAAUUGUGAGUUGGCUUGGUGUUUUGUCACGAAAUUGCCAAAGGGGAGAUUGUAAAUCCUAAGUGUGUUGCAAGUUUCGUGGUCGAGUCGGAGUCUUGAAAAAGUCCCGAGCGGAGAUUGAAGAUUCGAAGAAUCCAAGACUUCGAAGAAUCUGAAAUGACGCAAACACGCAAAACUUGAUAUCACGAUGCCGUAGGUAACUUAAAUCUUUGUUUAUGGUGAAUCAUACCUUAUGUAAGAUCUAGAAUCAUAUUUUCAUGUUGUAAUUGAUUAGAAAUUCUGAAGCUUUGUAAAAUUCAACAAUGCAUUUUCAGCAAAAAAUUGGCAUUGUUGUACCUACAAGUUGUACAGGGUUUCCAGUAAGGUAAACAGACAUUCACGGUUUGCGCCAAAAAGUUUGAUCGGUUGUUCCGGUACAACACAUCACGGCUGUACCGUUACAACCGUGCUUGGCAGAAAACAUUACUAGAGCUGCGCACUAGUCCUGUCAGCAAAUAACAGGGGUUGUACACUAGAGUUCUUGCUAGGAAAAUUUAAACCUUCACGUUCGUGACGUGCUGAAAGAAAAAGCUAAUAAAUAGAUGUAUCUUUUGAUCCAAUUCGCAACGUUUAAAUGGUUAGGGACCAAAAGUAAGAGACUAAGUGAUUAUCUCUCUCUUCUUAAGUAAUCUCUUUAUUAACCCUGCGACAAUGCUUUCUCUAUUUGUCUUCUCUGUACAAGCAUUUGGAAAAACUGUCCUAAAUACUCUAAUCCUCUCUAUUUCUUCAUCUCUUUUCCCCCCCCCCCUCUAGGUGAUAGAUACAAUCUAGAUAGAUACUUGCGCUCCUCAAAACUUUCACGAAGUGAUUUGGUCACUUCCAUGCCAAAAAGUAAAUUAUGGUGUUAUUUGUUGAUGCAUGCAUUACGAUAGGUUGUAAGUAGUAAAUAUGGACAUAUGAAUCAUAUAUGUUAGAUGGAAUAACCUGCCAUUGGACAAGAACAUAGGCAUGUGGAACAUAUAGAAUAUAUAUGUAUGCCUAGGUAUGGACAUUGAAUAGAGGUCGAUAACUCUUGAAAAAUUGGAGAACUCGACAAGCGUGAAACCAAAGACUAGAUGUCAUAGAAUUGUGAAUCCUAGGUGUGGACAACUAGGAUAAAGAAAGAGCAUGAUUGGGUAUUAAACCUAGUGUCAUUGAACAUAGGUUGGAUAACAUAGUGGUAGGAAGACCACUCGGAUUGCAAUGUCAUUGAACCUAGUGUUAUUGAACAUAGGUUGGAAAGUAUAGUGAUAGGAUGACCACUUGGACAUGUGAUUAUGAACCUAGGAAGGUUGACAACAUAGGGUAUGUAACAAACCCUUGAGACUUGAAAAGUAGAUUCCGAAAUCUCAAGACUUGUGAUCAUCGACAGUUCUUGGCAGUGCAUGCGGCAUGUUCCUCUCCCACCGCAAGAACUUCGAGACUCGUGGCUGUGUAGAACUCUUGGCCACGAGUGCAUGUGGCAUGUUCCUCUCCCACCGGAAGAAUCUUCAUGCGCUGGGGUGUAUGUGGCAUGUUCUUCUCCCUAUCGGGGAUUCCGGCUGCGGGUGUAUGUGGCAUGUUCCUCUCCCACCGGGGGACCCCUGACCGCGAGUGUACGCAGCUUCUUCGUCGCUCAUCUGGCGCCUUGGUUUGAGUAUUGAAGGUUGAGGUGCACGGCAUGUUCCUCUUCUCUGGCCUGGAUGUGAGCGGUAGUCCGCUGAUGAUUGACUCAAGACCGAGUUGGGUGGUAUAGCUUGGCUAAGGUGAAAAAACCUUAGGAGCGGAUUGGGUUAUACAAUGGAUUGUGAAAUAGAAAGUAGAAAUGGUAGAUCUACUCGCGUGGAUUUCAUAUUGCAUUUUGUGAGGCAUAAGCAUAGUGUUUAUUACUUGCAAAAACUAUAUGUUGAUAUUGUUGGACUAACUUGCUUAUGUUGCCUCCUUUGGACAUGGUGAGUCGACCUUUUCCCUUGGGUGGCCGUACCUACUGGGAACUAUUUUUUUUUUUUUAGAGAUCACUAGAAACUAUGUUUAUAGUUCUCACCCCUAUGUUUUCAGGUCCACAUGUGAGCGGUGCGGUGGCGCGAGGAAAGGGCGUAACUCGGUAGAUAAUGCCCUACCACUUGAGACUAAAGAUAGAAGCCCCCUGGGUCAGCAUAGCUUAGGGCAUAGAAAAGAAAGAAACAAAAUUGUGAUAAAGUUGAUUGUAUUUGAAAGCAAAAGAGUGUAAAUGUAAUGUGAUGAAUGCUUGUAAUAGCUUAGUAAUUAUGUUUGAUGCCUUCCUUAUGCAAUCGAGUAUGAAUUCUGUUCCUUUUUGUAACCACUUGAAUUGUAUUGUUUGCGAUGCCUUGGACGUACAAGGGAGACUCUGUCUGUUCGGCGGUCUGUCGGCGCACCCGAAUCCGACCAAAGAGGCGAGUCACGGGGCGUGACAUUGGCGCUAUUGAUAGUAUUCCAGCCUAGUUCUAUGUGCGUAUGUGUAUGUGUGUGUGUAUGCACCCACGCAUAAAUAAAGGAAGAAAGAAAGAAAGGUGUGUAACUAGCAGUAGUGCGGCUCCCACAUGUCACUGGCUCGCAGCUUUCCAAAAAUAGGUCUUUCGGGAUGUGAUUCGAACCUUAUGCUCGCCCUGUAGCAUUAAGUUUUAGACACAAGACCCAAGUGAUUAGGAUAUCGUCUCAAAGAGUUAAUUAUUAAUUAUUUGAUCUAUGUAGAUGAAUAUUGAUAUUAUGUAUCAAUCUUUAAAAUAUACAAAAAAGUACGGGUUGAAAAAAUAUAAUAAUAGCAACAAGUAGGGAGAAAAGAUAUGCAUCAUUAGUAUCGCGAAGAGUUAGCUUCACCGGAACACAAUACUCAAAUCUUAACGUGCUCCAUCUUGAUUUACUCCAAAUCGUACAUUCUACCUUCAAACACUGCGUGUCACUCAAAUAUAGCUUGUCAUAACAUACCUGGUAUCUCAUUCAUACAUUAUUCCAAGUAGUAUUCAUAACGUAUCCUGCACUCAUCUCAUGCGUAUGUUAUUUCUAAAAUAGCAAUUAUAAUGUACCAGUACUUUUUUAGUUAAUUCGCACGUUGAUUUGUUCUCUAGUUCAAGUACGCAUAGUUUUCUAUGUUCUAUUAUGUUUCUCACUCUAGAUUCUCUUUUAGGUUUCAUGUUGCUAUUAUGUUAUCUAAGUUCCAAAAUCCACAUAGUACUCUACUUACAUAUAACAUAUAUUUUAUUUUUGACCAACAAAGUGGUUGAACAUUUAAUUUUCUAGGUCAAAUGCCCAUAAAUUCACAUGAUGACCAAAAUCCCAUCUCAUGCGACUAAACAUGUGUUAGUAUACUAUAACUCAAAAUAUAGGCAUAUAAAUAAUUGAUAUUUUCUAUGCUCAAACCCUCCUUGGAGAUGGUUCUUGAUCUCUUUAGAACCCCACGACAUCCUAAAGAGAGAGUUAUAACCAAGUUAGGACCUCUGAAUCUCUCAUUUGGAAAAAUCCUUAAAAAUCAAAACCUAAAGCUCCAUCUAACUCUUUCUCUCCAAGCAAAGAAAUGUGCAUUAAGGUGGUUGGCUUCUCUCUCCUAGAGAUUCUUUUUGGUUCUCUCCGCCUUCUCCAAGCUCUCAACAAGAUUAAUCAAGUGAAAUCCAAUAAUUGGAAAAUUAGAAUUUUCUCCUUUUUUACAUAGAGAAAAAGGAGAGCGUAUGAAGGACAGAAAUGAGAGAGUGGGAAGAGUUAAAUGUGAGGAAGGGUAUUUAUGGAGUUGGCACAUGUUGGCUACUUAUUAUUGGGCUAAAAUAAAUCCAACAUCCUGCCUCGUAACAAUGGACUCAGGACACUAAUAAGUUGAGUUCGGUGAGCCUAAUAAGUUGAGUGGAGGUGCGGUCCACAAGAGACCUAACGGCAAAAGGCCCAACAAUAGACCCAAUGUCCAGGUGGGUUGAGUUACGUACGUUGAGAACCCGCGAGUGCUAUGGCUGAGCCCUUAAGUGCGAUGGGUGCGCCUUUCCUAUCAGCACGUGCUUUUCAGGAUAGUUGGUUAGCCCUUACGAUCCACAAGUGAUAUCAGAGCCAGUGGUGUGGGUUCGACUCCUACAUGUUGCGUUAAUGGUGUAGGUGUAACGUACCAUACCCCCGUAAAUUGUGCCGAGUUCUGUCAUAAUGCGCGGAACGCGAAGUGGAACAAGUUGGUAUGGGCUAAAAGUGCAUUGGAGCCCAUAGGAAGAGGUUAGGGACCCGAGAGAGCAAGAUUGCAAAAUCUGGCUAAGUCCCAGAUUUUGGGCUCUCGGGGACCGGUCCCUGAUGGAGAGACCGGUCCCCGUACGCGUAGCUUGCCCUUAAUCCUGAGGCAACCGGUCCCUGGGUGUGAGACCGGUCCUCGGGAGACCGGUCCCUUGCUGCGCAGCCAGCCAAAAACGCAGAAAAUCGGCUAAGUCCUGGAAAUCCGACCUUCGGGGACCGGUCCCUGGUCGGGGAGACCGGUCCCUGACUGCGAAAAAUGCCCAGUCUGGGCAGUGCACUGAAAUAUAGUGGAGGGGCCUUGUUGUAAUUGUUACAAUAUGAUAUAACCCUACACCCCUUCACUCCCACAGCCAUUUUCACCUCCCCAACUCACUCCCCUUCUUUCUCUCUCUAGAACCCAAGCUCCAAGGCAAGGAGAAGGUGGAGAAAAGCUUGGAGUAGGAUUUUUGGUGAAUUUGGUAGGUCUAGAAGCUCUCCAACAAGAAGAAGCUUGCUAGAACUUGGACUAGAGGUAAGUUCUUGUAAGUUUUCCUCUAGGGUUUGGGUUUUGGCCUAAGGAUUUGGAGCUUUGUGCUCCUUAGAGGUCUUAGAAGCUCUUUUGAGCCAUGAACAACAAGACACCCAUGAGAGCUCAAGGUGCUCUAAACACACGAGAGAGAUGCCGCGGAUAGAACUAGAAUUUUUGAAAUCCUACCGUCAGUCUCUUUUCUCCUCUCUCUCCAUCUUCAGCAAAUACGACGUCUUUGCAAGCCGAGGCUAGCACCCGUACUGACAUAUCAAAUCAAAACUCUUGUUGGAUACAUAAGGGGUCGUAGCGCCGUGUGCGGCUACAAGAAAAUAGAAUUCUACUGAUCAUCAAUAUGAAGUGAAGUAUCUAUCCAAGAAAAAGUCAAGAUUCGAUUCUUAUUUUCUCCUUAAAUCAUUAAAGAAGAACAUAGGGUCCUAAUUGCGUGAUUUUUUAGCUUGGAUAUCGAAGUUUUCAAAAUCAGAAUUUGUUUGAUUUCUUUUUCCGGCUCACGUUUUUACCGUACGCAAAUUUUCUAACAGUGUUCAGUAGCUCCUCAUGUUUUAAGAUUUAAAAUAUGAAUUUAGGUAUUCUAAACUAUUUUGUCGCCGGUAGAUACUGAUUUAUAGAUCGUUUUUGAUUAAUGAAAAGUUCGAAUUGAUUAAACAACUUAAUCGAUCUUUCUUGUUUUCAAGCAAACUAGCAACAAAAAAAAAAAAAAUUGUAGCAUACGUACCCGAUGCGACUUGUAAGCAUCCUACGGAAUACGACUUUUUUUAAAAAUAAAAUUAGUUUUCUUUUAACAUCUCUUCUCCUCUAGAUUAAUUUUAAAAGAAAAAAAUAUUACAUAUGAAUCUAACUUUUAUUAGAUCAAAUUUACAUUUGAUGAGAUCAAGUUGUUUUUGAAGAUUAAUUUUCUGAUCAAAAAUUAAUAGAAACAUCAACUAAAUGAUAAUUUUUUGUCGAUUAGGUCACUAAUUUUCGAAUCAUCGGAUUAAACGUUAAUCAGUAAUAUCCAGCAAAAUUUUAUUAUUUUGAUGUAUAGAUACUAUUGGGUGACGACAUUGUACGCCAAUUAUUUUGUUUCACAUGGGUAGGAUGUUGCCGAAUCCUGUAAUUUUAAAUUUUUAAAUUAAGGAUUUUGAUAGAGAUGCUAUAUUUGUGCCAUGCGUGCACAAGCCGAAUUACUUUUAGAAACUCUGUCUCAAUAGAUUAUAGAAUAAAAGACAUCAUUAUACAUUAAUUUUAUUUUAUUUAUUGUUGAGUGUAUAAGUAUGGUUGCCCUAUUGGUUGAUCGUUGCAAGUCAAGAAGUAGCAAAGACUUUAAUCGAGAUAACACAUGGCGGUCGAUAAGGUGUUGAUACGGAUCGGAUCAAGUUGAAACUCAAUCGCAUCAAAAUUAAAGACGACAAGAUACCAAUGAUUGUGUGUGCUUAGUAAUUAUACCUAGACCGAUGACUGCAUGGCUCGAUUCCGAAUCCACUUCUUAGAUCAGAUCAUUCACCAAUUUCAUAUUAUAUUUUCUCGCGCGGAUAUUUUUAUUUGCCUAGAUUAAAAUAAAGAAAUAUCAGAAAUUUUUAGAACCUAAAUUAAUCCGCUCACAAGUAUUAAGUCGAGCACCUCUUUCACCGUUGUAGAAGUGCGGCGUUUUUUCUGUUGUCGAAUGGCAAGGCUGGUACAGUUGGUCAGCUUUCAUCGGGAAAAGCGCAACAUACUCUCUAUUAGCUAUAGAUGCUCUGCGGAGUAAAGAUGGUUGAUUCCCAAAACUUCAGGUGAGAACCCAAGGGUUCGCUACAGUUACUACCUGUUGGAACGUGGGUCUGCUUAUACUAGAAAUGGCCAAUAACUGUCACGUAAGCCUACAAACUUAAAAACCGGAUCACGCAAUUUGUUGAGGAAGCAUUGACAAUAAUGCCACUCAUGCGUUUGCAAUAUACCAAAACUGUUAGGCUUAGUGUACGUUUAAACUGUUGGACCCGAGUACCCACUGUAACCUUUUGUUGUGUGGUUUCUGAUUUCUCAUAUCCCGAGGAGUGUAAAGAAGAUUCUAGAAAUAGUGAGGCUAUAAUUUAUUUUAAAAUUCCCUAAAAUUACAAAAUUUUAAAAUCAAAUAUCACAUAUCUAACUUGAAUCUUUACUCUCUGCGCAAGCUUAAUGGACUGCUCUCCAAUAUCUCUCUCGUAUUCUCUGACACAAAAAUCCUUAACUGAAACUAAUUAUCCCGCCGGUGGCCAAACUGCAAAGGAAUUUAAAAAUAGUUUUAAAUUCCAAGAAGCUUCUGCAUUGUUCUCUCGACUAGAAAACCUCUCAUGUACUAAGCCGGCCAAUAAUAACCGAAGAGUCAGUCUGUUCAGUUUUGUUUACAAUGAUGCAAAAGACCUUGAGGACUGAAAUUCGCAUGAAACUGGACAAGGAUUGCUAUAGUUAAUCUGAUACUAGCAAUCCUUUUCCUGUAUCAGUAUGGAAAAGUUUAUUGUAACUACAUAAAAUAAAAUGAUGCAACCAACGGUUAGCUUUUAUGAAGAUAUGUUAUAACAAUAAAGGGGACUUUGAAAAGUUAAAGGCCCUCGUUCUCAGCUUGUGAGGCGAGCUAUCCUCUCCAAAUAGAAGUCUAAUUGUAAGAAGAAAUCAUGUGUACCUCGGCAGAAGGAAACAAAACCGAAGACAAUGCCAAGAGAGAUAACCCUAAUAAAAAAGCCGCUAACAAAGAAAACUGUUUUCCACUGGCAAUGUUGACGGCCAUAUGAAAGCAACGUCCUGUCUACCUGGAAAGGCCUAAAAGCAAUAAGAGGAGAGGGAACACCUCGAAGUGAUGUAGACUUGCUCAGUAAUAGAAACUAUAAUCUUAAUCGUUCAUUCUAUUCUCGUUUGAUUAAUACGUACUAAUUUAGUGCUUAUUUGUACUAUCAAUUAUAGUUAAAAAAAGAGAGGGCUUUAGGGAAGGUGUAACCCUAAAUUGGUAUGUCAACUGGAGCAAGAGUGCAACAUGUGCUUGCUAACACCCUAUACUUAUGCGAACUAACCGUCAUGAUUAUGUUUUAUUAAAAAUAUGUCACGUACCUUGUUCUGGAGAUGUAAGAAAUUUGAUUUCUAUUCUUUUCACAUUAGAUGUUUAAUUUUGACAAAAUACAUAACGUAUAGAGUUAUUUUAAAUAAUAAUUAUUAGCUGUGUUCUAUGAUUUUGACAGUCGUUAAUCCAUUUACAAUAUGAUUUAUGCAAAUAUUUCUGAGCAAUAGUGGACUGCUGUUGGAUCUAGAAUAGAUCUAGAGAUGAGAUAAACCUAACAGUAUAUUUUGCAGGCUCAGUCUGUCAUAUUCAUAAAGCAAGAAUCAAUAAAUUGGAUAAAGAUGGGGCUUUUACGGCUCAUUGACUUAAGCUUAUCCAGUUUGUGAAUACUUGUUAAAAAAAAAAUUGAUCUAAAACUUUGUAGGACCAACAGAAAGGGCACUGAGAUACUUUUUCCUGUAUAAGGUCACUGAUGUUGUGGCCAUUUGUGUGCAUCUAGGGUGUUAUCUCUACUCGUCAAACCUUUUACGGGAGUAUUAUCCACGGUAGGAAUGUGUAUCUAUGAAACACAAAUCAGCCUUUGAAAGUCAAAUAAUUCCAGAUAUGAAGUAAAAAAAACUGAAAAAUCAUCUCAGUAUUCUCGAUCAGAUCGAGGAGGAGAAUACCUAGUGGAGAGUUCCUAGAAAUUAUCUAAAAAAAAAAAAACACAUAGUCAUCAACAGUGACUCCUUCCGGAACACCAUUAACUCAAACGGGUGUCAGAACGAAAACCGAACCUUAUUGGAUAUAUCUAGUUCCAUAUACUUCACGAAUAUAUUCCUUUAUUUACUUUGGCGGACAUUCUUUUGCUUCCCUGCCAGCUUACUUGUUAAAUAGAGUCCCUCUAAAUCAUGUUCAGCUACCAUGGCGUAUGAGAUUGCAUGGUAAGAAAGCUCAAGUCUUGUCAUAUAAAAUUUGGUGUCCACCCAUGUUAAGCGACUAGCACGGCGACAAUAUAGGUAGUUCAGAGGGCUCGUUUUAUUGAUAUCCUAAAGAAACUUAGGUUACUUCUUUUAUAAUCACAGAGAAUCACAAUGUAGUGGAUCUCGAUAUGCAUUUUCUUCGAAAAAAAACAUUUUCUUCAAAAGGACUAGAGAAGAAAAAGUUGACUCGAAGAGAGAGUCUCUGACAGAGGCACGAGUCAUCAAACCUACAGAGGACCUAUUCAAGCUUAGCCAAAUACAUGUAGUUACCAACCCUCACCGCUUCUGUAGUCGAGAGAAUUCCUUACUCCUACUAAAACAGAACUAGUAACUGAGUUAUAGAGAUGUAGAGGCAAAUGUUCCUCAUGGGAAUAGGGAACAUGGAUAGAUUCCAAAACUACAACAAGGCGAUUCUGACAUCGAUCCGAGAAUGCUGAUGCAUGAAUCAGAAAUUGCUCAAUGAAUUCAACCACGGUUUGGAUUUGGAGAGCCAACAAAGUAUAUACCUAUGCGGUAAAUGAUCUAACAAAAGAAAGAUAGUCGAUGGAAAGGUGGAGACUUAUAAAGUAAAGGCUGGGUUUGCGAAAGGUUUAUAUCAACAGGGCAACAUUACUAAUCAGAGAACUUUUUCACACGUGACCAUGCAUUAAUCAAUUCGAACACUGCUUGCCCUUACAGCAUACUAUGAUAUGAGAUUCUGGCAAAUUGGAUAUGGAAAAUGCCUCCUAAAUGGAUAUUUGAGAAGAUAUCUAUAUGUAUGCACUUUAGGUUCAAUUUCCCGUGACGAAAGUGAAAUUAAUGCAAGUUCAACGUCUAGUUUAUGACUUAACAAGCAUCUCGACCUUGGGAUUACUCGUUUCAACGACUGAACUUCAAUCGUUUGAUUUCGUUAAGAAAGGAGGAACCAUGGUUUAUAAGAAGUCAAUGGGACUGUCACAUUUCAUCGUAAUUGUAUGUGGAAUACAUUCUCCUAAUGGGAAUGAACAUCCAAUGCUAACUCAUUAAAAUAUGGGUUUUCUAAAAAUUCUCUAUAAAAGACUAGAGAAAGCAUCCUAUAUUUGGGAUAAAAGGUCUGAGAGAUAACUUCUAAAGAUGCUAGCCUCUCACAUAAAAUUUACAUAGAAGGGUGUCUGAAGAUUUCAGCAUGAAAACCCAAAAGGAGACUUUUACCUCUAGAAACAUGGAAUUUAUCUCUCUAAGAAUAAUGCCCAAACAUUUGAAGAGAUUCAACGUAUGAGUAAAACCUUUAUGCAUGCAGUAUAGGGGACUAUGUACCGCCGCUAUGUACAACGACUGAUAUCGCGCCUUGCUGUAUGUCACAUGUAGAUAUCCAAUCUAACCAGGUGAGGAGCACUGUAUGCGUGAAAGAACAUAACUCAAGUACUGAGAAGGACUAAUGAUAUGUUCUGCCUUAGCAGGAGGAGAUUGAAAUAAAUGGAUAUACUGAUUCAGACUUUAUUUUAAUGUUACUGAUAGAAAGUCAGCGUCAGAAUAGGUUCUUACCUGCCAUGGGCUCUGUGUAUUGGAAGAGUUCCAAACAAAAUUAUUGCUAGACUCUACUCAUGAAACAUAGUAAUAUCGCCGCAACUGCGAAGCUGCAAAAAGCCUCUGUUCAAGAAAUUUGUUCGAAACUAGGUGAUGAUCCUCCUCGUAUGUCAUACCAUAUAGCGACAAAGGACAUAGCCCAUACUAAGAGCCCAGGUUCAUCAGAAGUCAAGCAUAGCCGAGCGGCGUUUAAUAUUAUACGCGAUACCUCGACAAGAAAUACAUUCGAUAUGCAGAAAGUAGACUCUAUUGAUAACGCAACCAUUGACUAACGGCCACUUAGCCAGCAGAAGACUGAAGUCCACCUUGAGAAAUGGAGUUUAGGUAUAUUGUGUAGAUUUAGUGUCAUAGUGGAGAUUGUUAAUGUAUCCCUAAAAAGCCACAGGCCGACUAUAUAUAUUUUCUAGACAUAAAAUUUGUAACUGAUUUUAAAAUACUUAUAAAUAUAUUUGGUUUAUUUUCAUUAUAGGUGUCAUUGUCCAUGAAUCCGUCCAAGAAUUAAUAAGAUAAUGAAAUACUAUUCCUCAAGAUUGAGAAUUGAGACAUUUCAUUGGUUAAUUCUAAAUGCUCCUGAUCAAUGAUAUCACGGAGACUUAUUUGAUCCGUAAUUGAUGCAUAGGUCCUUUCACUUUUGGUUACACUAGUCCUCGAUCGACAUGAGGGACACUGAGCGAAUAUGCAGGUUUGUUGAAGAACAAGGGACCGAGCGUGACCACGCGAGAAUACUUGGAUUCUAACCACAUCGCCAGACUUACUCAAUAUUGUAGUAGUGUGAAUCUUUGACUCAGUGCUCUGACUAUUCACAAUGAUGUUAUUGCAUUUUUGACGUCAUAACCACCUUGGUCCUAGCAUUCAGUCCUUGCGGGCAUGUUGGCUGCAGGAAGUAUCAUUGUAGAUAGGGUGCUCACUAGAAUAGAAUCUAUCUCCCCUAGUAUAGGGUGUAGCCUAUGUGAUUUAUGAGACCGAGUUAAAACCUUGGCCAGGCAGAGUUAAUAGCGGAAAAGGUUUUCAAUUAAGAAACUUAUCGAAUAAAUUAAACAUAUGAACAGACCGAUAGGGGUUUGACGAUUUAUUCAUAACCUCCGUCAUCGGACUCAUUAUAUAAGAUAAAUCACAGCGUAACUGCACGCCAGAGGUUCAGUAUCCAUUCUACUGGAAUCGCACUAUAAAUGCUAGGCGUCACUGGUGGAUUGUGAGACUCAUUGAGAAUAUUCUAAAUAUCGAUAAUUCUUAUUGGGUCUGAGUUUGAAUUAUUCACGAUCACACUGAAAAGAGUUUCAGUGAAUUGUUGAUAUCGACCCAAAUAUAUCUCACUACCAGAUAAAUAGAACCUCUAUGGGGUCACACACAAAGAGAUUAUGAUUGAUGUAUAGCUAAUCGCGAUUUAUUGAAUCGCGCCGAAGGUACCUGAUUGUCAACAUAUGUUGAUAAUUUGACCAUUUGUAAUUAUUAUCAAGAUUAGCUGGAUUAAAGUGUAAAUACAAGAGAGACAUUACUCAUAAUUAGUAAAUAUAAGAGGACUUAUGGCAAAUAUCUGCAUAUAUUUGAUAAGAUAAAUUAAUUAUAAAGUUCAAGUCGAAUCAAAUGGAUUGACUGAUCUAACUAAAAGAAAAGAAUAAAUUUUAAAUCUAUAUUGUACUACUUAAUGUUUAUAUUAUUAAAAAGAGGAUUAAUUCUCCUAUAAUAACAUACGAUUUAGUAAAAUCCUAGCCGCAUCUCUCUUUUCUCUCUCAUCCAUCUUCUAGCAAAUAGACGUUCUUAUGCAAGGAGCUAGCACCCCGUUAGACAUCCGAUCAAACAGAACCUGUAUGAAUAACCUAUAAGGCCGUAACACAGUUGCGGCUUCAGAGAACGAAUCACGUCAUCAACUGAGGAGAUCUAUCCGCCGAAAAAGGUAAAAUUCGAUCUUGCUUUUCUCCCUUUAAUUCUAAAGAACAUGAGGGAUCCAAUACGUUGGUUUGAAGAUUGGAAUUCUCUAGAAGUUUCAAAAUUCAAUUUGUUUGAUUAUUUUUCCGCUUGUUUUACCGUACGCAAAUCUUCUAACCAGACACCAUCUCCAAGAGGUUAAGAUGAGGUGGGGGAUUAUCAUAAGAAUGUAUUUGAGCUUUCCCUUUUCUAAACAUCACUGUUUUAUAUCAUUACGUCUCUUGAGAAUUAGAUAGUACACAUAUUUAAUUCGUGAAUGGAUUUUGGUGGUCAUGUGCUUAUACAGCAUAUACCUAGAAAUAGGGUUUAACUCUUUAUUAUGUCAUAAAAUAAACGUAAAUAAUAAAUAAGUCUUAUGUGACUUUGGAACUAAGAUGAAUAAUAUCAACAUGAAACCCAGGAGAGAAUAUAGAUAAGAAAUAAGUGAUAUAGACAACUAUUCGUAGUUUAACUAGAGAAACAAGUCAAUUGUGAAUGAACUUAGAAAAACAACACUACAGGACAUUGUGAUAGGUGCGACUAAAUAACGAAAGUCUCAACCUUUUGAACUAUACAAUUAAAAGCCGAUUACCCUCCGAUCCCUAGUAUACAUAAUAGAAAGCCUCAAUUCUAUAUCCUUAACUCCCUAUGCGUACUUGGAGAUAUCAAUUGCCUUCACUCAAGCUUACCGAUUGGAAGAAGAUCUAAUUCUGCCCGGACUCUAUGAGUAUUAAAAUGAAAAUGAAAAAACUCACUAGUUAAUUAAAUAUAUGAAAUGAUUUGGACAAUCAAUAGGCCAUAAUAUAUUAUACAUGAUGACAUCUGUGUAACCGCUAGGUAGUCCUUAUGUUAAAAAUAUUAUCUUUGGCAAAUUAUUACAAUGGUCAUUAUUGUUCAUAUCUAUACUGCAUGAAAGUUUAUCUUGAUAAAUCACAUCUUCAUCAUCAUGCAUCUUACCAUUAAAUUGCUCUUAUAUAAAAUCUGAUAUUACUAUGUAUGUCCAUUAGAAAAAUUUUGGAUUUUAGUUUUAUGAUUCUAUAAACUUUUUAUAACUAUAAAAAUAUAUAAGCGACAUCCUAAUAAAUGUCAAAAUGAUCUUAGAAAUCUUGACAUUAUGCUUCACUAUUAAGCUUUGACGACAUAGCUCAUUGCUGAUAUGACCCUUAUACAUUAGUUGAAAUCUUAUGUUAUAUGUCUAUUGUGAUACUAUUUCAUUUAUUUACAUCCAAGACAUUUAAGUUUGUAUUUUGUUUUGUCCUUCGGAUGGACUAGAGUGUUGAGGUUUACAAUGUAGUGUGGGAUGUCGUAGCUCUUGACUAUGUGAUCGUGUCCAAGUUUAUCUAAACGAUUGGAUGUAAUGCACUGAACUUUUACAAUAGCAGAGUUCUAAGUAAUGAAUAUAAAAAACAUAUUUGAAAAUUUAAUAGUAUUUGAAAACGUUUGACAGAAUUUUUGGCAGGCAAAAUGAUGCUAAAUGACUUAGAAAGCAAAAAAUCUGCAUUACUGACGAGCUAUCAGUUAGAUACAAUACUAUGAAGCUACAAGAUGGCUGGAAGAACUUCAGGUUUUAUGAAACUCCCCCUUGACGUAUACUAGGAAGGGCGGUAUCGAUACACCAAUAAAAGACAGCAAUUCCAACUUCGGUUGCCUAUCAACCUCGAAGUAACUAAUACACUAUAAAGAGUUA
rnacentral:lncRNA from 1 species